GGGCCCACAGGCAGAUUGGGGGUUGAGGUGUGGAUGACUUGUACGCUCUGCUCAGAUUGUGAGAUAUGAGCUCCAGACAACACUGAAUCAGUCCUGUCUCCGGGAAGCCCACCCUUUCUGACUUCUCUGCCACAUUCCCAGCGUGAGUUCAUUUUAUUCCUCAUCAAAAUUCCCGGAAGGAUGUAGGAUUCCACACCAGCCAGACUUUCUCUCAGCCUGAUGACAUCUCCUGGCACCUGCCCAGCCCAGAGGAAGGCCAAGGUUGGGGGGAUUGAAGCCCACCCUGCCCUGCAGGCUGAAGGGAACAGUUUCAGGAGCUGGUCUGGCAGAAGGUGUCUCCAGCCUGGAACACGGGCCUGGAUGAGGCCAGCUCACAUCUCAAUUCUUCCAAGAAGCCUUCCUGGACUUCUCCAGCCCAUGCUGACCUCCCCUCCUCUGAAUUCCUGUUGUGUAUGUAUUAGUGACAGCAGUCACUGUUCUGUACUUGGUCAUCAUGGUCUGCCACCUUGAAUCAUGUAAACCCAGCUUCCUGAUUAGACCCCAAGAUCCUCCAUGGUAGAAAUAAGACUUCCAUAAUUCUCUUCUAUCCCCAGUUAUCAAAAACCCUGAGCACAGCACCAGGCAACUGGAACAGCCUCCACAAAUACUCCUUGAAUGAACAAGAAUUGGUUCCAGGAGUGCCAUGGGAGUGGGUGGGAUAGGACAAGGUUGAGCACAGGUGUGUCACCACCCAAGAACAUUUGGGAAACACGAGUGUUUUUAAAGAUGCUCUGUCCCCCAAUCUGUUCCUCAGUCCCUCCCCUCCUGGUGGGAAAACAAUGACCUCACAGCCACAAGCCUUGAGGGCCCUUCUCAUCCUGUCCCUUGACACUGGAGGGACUUUUCAAAAAUGUCACUGUCAUGAAAAACAAACAAAAGCAGGGGACUGCCCUAAAUUAAGAGAUUAAAGGA